UUAACAUUAGAAAAUUGCAGGUCAUCCAGGUAUUUAUGUCCUUAAAUAAUCGUCCGAUAAUGAAGGAUUCUGUGGAAAGACUAUUAAAUGUUCAAUUUCAAUGCCAUAUAUAAGAACAAGGUUGAGGGUGUGGUUAAAACAGUGAGUGGGUUCAUGAACAUUCUGACAGAAACCAAUUGAAUCUAAUAAUGAGGCUAAGGCUAUCCUUUUCAACAUCCACAUGAAUAUUGAAAUCACCUACAAUAAUUACUUUAUCUGUUUUAAGGACUAAACUUGAUAAAAACUCUGAGAAUUCAGAUAAAAAUUCAGAAUAAGGACCAGGAGUGCGGUACACUAUAACAAAUAGAAUUGGCUGUAGUGUUUUCCAGGUCGGAUUUAAAUGACUAAGAACGAGGCUUUCGAAAGAGUUUUAAUUUAGUUUAGGGUUGAUAAAUAGGCUUGAGUCAAAGAUAGCUGCAAAUCCACCUCCUCGGCCGGUGCCUCGAAGAAUGUGAGCAUUAUUAAAAAGGGCAGAGUGGAUUAAUUUAAGCUAACAUUCUUCAUGAUCCAGCCAGGUUUCAGUAAGACAAAAUAAGUAACGCAUUUACACUCAUAGUCUGAGUUACCAUAAUCAUAGUAUGAAAUGUGGAGACUCCCAUUUCACUCACAUUAUUGAAUGGCUGUAUUAAAGUUUUUUAAGAAUAGAAGAAUGCACACCAAUUGCUUUGUCUUUUUGGUGGUGCAGGAAAUCAAAUCCCCCAAAAUCCAAUUCUAUUUAAAAAAAAAAAAAAAAAAAAAGAAGUGAAUUCCUGCACACACUUAUUAAAAGGUUGAUGUUUUGGUCACAAGGACCUUUUCCAAGACAUAUUAAUCUAUAGUGACACAGUGUUUAAAUAAAGCCCAUAAUUGCAUGAUAGUCCACAGCUGUGUUGGAGGUGUGUCCAUGAUUACAUACAGCAGCUUAGUCAUUCAAGAUUCCCUCAACCAUCAAAACAUACAUUAUCUAUAAUCCUUUAUAUAUUACUAAAAAGGAAAACAUUUUUAAAAUUUGGUGAUAUAUAUGUACAAGACAUACAGUAGCCCAAAUCUACAGUAUAUAAAUGUCACAUGGGGUCCUAUAACUUUAAAUUUAUCCAUGUACAGAUAUAGAAAAUAUAUAUUUUAACCAAAAACACAUUUUUGGGAGGACAGGCCCACCCAAAAGAAAACAAACAUGUGCAUAUUGUAUUUGGUAUCUAGUAGUGGUGUGGGCAGGGGUUUUAAAGGGGCCCAAAUCAAUCAAAAUAAGCAAAUAAAGAACUAUUCAAAUAGAAAAGUUUUCACAAUAGAAAAAGGAUCAAGACAUAGACCAACUCUUGACAAUCCCACAAAAUAACAAGAGGUGGAAGAGGUCCCAUUAUGUGAAAUAGUAUAUACCAUGGUAGAAAAAACUUUAUAUAUAAGAUACACAGGUUAAUUAUAAAAAGUAUUUUGGGAACUUUGGGCAGUAGAUUGGGUUUGUUUCACAGACCAUUUCACAGGAAGACCCUGAGAUUCAGGUCCUGGUUCAUUCCCAAAGGUUGUCAUGGUUUGAGGGUUUAUGUAUGUUAUUUCCUGUUUUAUUUUUGAAAGACUCUCCUUCCCUCAUGUGUCUGGUAGUUUUGCCUGUUCUAAAGAUUCUGCUGUGCUACAGAUCCUUUUGUAGUCUAUGAAAUUGACUAGUGGGGAUGGCAUCCUUAAUAUACUGUGGAUGGUAACUUUCUGUCCUGAGAGGAUAAUUACAAUAUGUGGGUUUUCGAAAGAGGUCUGUAAUGAUCUUGUUGUCUUGUCUGAUUAUACACAGGUCCAAGAAGUUUUUGUGAGAGUCAAACUUCAGCUUGAACUUGAGUGAUGGACUUCUGUCGUUCAGCCAUGUGAUGAAAUAAAUGAGUUUUUGUUCACCAUCUGUACAGAGAAAUAUUCUAUCUUCAAUGAACCUUUUCCAGUAAAUGAUGUAUUUCCAAUAUGGAUUAUUAUCUUCACUCAAGAUGUAUUUCAUUUUUAAAAAUGCCAACAUAAAGGUUUGGUGCUACAACUGUGCCCACAGCACAACCACAGAUCUUUUGUGAAAAUUCUUUAAGUCUCGUGAAUUUGAAAAAAUCGACUUUGGCGUCAAGUUUGUUAUCUGUGUAGUAUGGGACAAAGUACAACCCCUUAUUUAACAAAGACAGAUGGUUAGUGUUCAAUGUCUUACUAAACAACUUGAUCACAUUCUCUGCCCCUGUUGUCUCAUAUUGCCUGUUCUGCCAGAAAUGUAUCCACGUCGUUUCUUGCCUUGUCUGGUCUUUCGUAAAAAACAUCUCGCUAAUAUGUCUGAUGUAUGUCCGACAGUGAAUAAUAGUGAAUGGAUAUUCCUCUUGUUCGUAAAGGUUCUUGUGCUGGUUGGAUUCUUGUAUUGCCAAGUAUCAACGCUUUUGUUCUUAUAAUCAUCUUCAUCCCUUUUAAAUUUGUAGAAGUAUAUUUAUCUAGCACUUAGUAAAACCAGAGAUUACAAAGUGCUUUACAAGUGAAAAACACAUUUAAAGCUGUAUACGCUUACAAAGUGAAAAUAGUAAACCAUAAAAACUGGUCAUACCCUAUUUAGAACAGAUCAUACAUACUGUACAAACAUGUUACACAUGUCAGACAUACACCUAUUGAUGUAGAAAAUUUCUGGUCAAUCUUCACUUUGAAGAAUAAGCUCGAUGAGCCUCACUUGUUCUUACUUGAAUAUAUUUAUUACAACACAAAUCUGUCGACAGAAGAUCUAGGUACAGCAUGUAUGCAUGAACACAAGACAUACCAAAAACCUAAAGUAACAUUACAUUGAUUCAGCUUUAUACAGUGUGUCCCACAUCAUACAGAAUCACGUAUCAUCAUGGCGCCAGAAAGGUUAAAGGUAAAUUACCCAAAUUAAAUAGUUAUAAAAAGCUUUUUGAUAAAAACUUUUUUUUUUUUUUUUAAUUAUUUAAAAGAGGAUACUGACUUUGCAGAUAUUGAUUUUGCAAGUCUGAGCUAGUCAGGCAGGUCGUUCCAGAGUUGAGCUACCCUAAUAGCAAAAACCUUGCCCCUUUUUUUUCUUAAACUGGAUUUAUAGUUGACGCAAAGAGUACUGCAUUGGAUGCCUAUGGCACUGUUUUGAUUUAUUGUCCUUAUUCGCUUAAAGAACUCAUAGUACCUUAUUACCCCCACUAGAACACUGCGCUCUCAGAAUGCAGUUGCGGUUCCUAGAGGGUCCAAAAGUAGAAUGGGAGCCAGAGCCUUCAGCUAUCAAGCUCCUCUCCUGUGGAAUCCUGAACCAUCCCUUAAUUAUGCUGCUUUAGGCCUACACUGCCGUGAGGCUUCCCAUGACGCACUGAGCUCUUUUCUCCUCCCCCUCUCCAUCUGUACGCAUUCCUAUUCCAUUAAUGCAUGUUACUAACUCGACAUCUUCUCUUUCGUAGUUUUGUGCUUUCUGUUCUCUCUUUGUCACUUUCAGCAGGUAUUUCUGCCUCCGGAGCUACAGAGUCUGGAUCUGGGGUUGCAGGCCACCUGCUGCCCCCCUGCUCGACAACCACUGCUACAAUUAUUAUUAGUCUUAUUAUUAUUAUUAUUAUUAUUAUUAUUCCUAUCAUUCCUAUUAUUUUAUUAAUAUUACAACUGCCAUUACAUUAUUUUAAAAUUCUAUGUGGAAUUUGCAUUGUGCUACUGUCUAUCUGUAUCCCUCCCUCCCUCUGGCAGCGGCAGAUAGCCGCCCACCCUGACUAGUUUUUCCUGUUAAAAAGAAGUUUUUCCUUGCCACUGUCGCCAAGUGCUUGCUCAUGGUGGGAUUUGUUGGGUCUCUGUAAAUAAUAUUAUAAAGAGUACGGUCUAGACCUGCUCCAUAAGAAAAGUGCAAUAAGAUAACUUCUGUUAUGAAUUGGUGCUAUGUAAAACAAUAACCUAAAGUGGAUGGAAUCUUUAACCUUUUAAUCAGACUCUGCGUUGUAGCAUGGACACAGGAAUAAUAGUGGAAUGGUUCUAUAAAAAAAGCCAUGUAAAUAUCUUGUAAUACUGUAAUUAGUAGUCGUAAUGAUUAUAAUGUGCAUUUAAACAUGUGUGUCUUUACCGCCUGACCACAAGGCUUUUCUAUUCAGUAACCAAGCAAUCUAGUGGCAAUUGUUGUGCUCUGCUGCCCUGUACAUGCAGUUUUUGAUAAUACUUACAGGAAGCUUAGGUAACUAUCGAACUGGAAAUACCAUUUUGUAACCUGUCUGAAGUUGAUAGACGGUGUCUGAGCUGAGGUCUGUUGGGGUGAAAGGUUCUGCUGCCUUGUAUCUUGGGUUGCUGCAGGAAGUGUGCAAAACUCAUCUGCUGGAUUUUUCUGUGCACAAAUCAUCAUCCUGUCUCAGAGGAAUUAUUUUUACUCUUACUUUACUUAUGAGCUCUGGAGUAUUCUCUAAAGGUCAUAGAUUUUGCCACACAGUCCAUCGGUUUACACACUGAAUGCUUCUUUAGAUUCGAGGCCUUUUUUUCCCCUCCUAACAUAUACCAGCAUUGGUAACCAGUCAGAUGACAUGACUUGUUAGGGCCGUUUGAGACCGGGGUCUGAGACAGCACUCAGGAUGACACGAUGACUACAUCCCAUCAGAAUGUCAAUGCCCCUGCCCAGCUGAGUUCAGCUCACUUCCUGUGGAUCAGGGCUUUCUCUCAUGCACCGCUGAAUGGGGAUGGUGUGACAGCAUUGAAUUGGGUUCCUGUUUUUGCUCUUUAAUUGAAAGUGAUCUGCUUGCCAAGGUUCUGGCCACUUUUCAACUUUCUACCCACUAAAACAGACCCACGAGCUCUCAGGAAAAGAGAAAUGAAAGUCAGGAGCUACUUUAGAAAAACCACUGAGCCUGGGGAUUUUCCUCACUGACCAGAAAAGUGUGUGUCUGUGUUCUGGCUGGCUCCACGAUCUCCCGGCUGCGGUUGAUUACCGGCACACCUGUUCUCCAUCAUCAUCCAUUACAACAGUUUAUCUACUAGGCUUAUCCACACUUCCAGCGCCAGAUCGUCUUCAUACACAUAUUUCGCCUCGACGGUAAUCUCCGCUCCCGGAUCCCCGCAACCUUUACUCCACGCCAGCGGUCACGCUGCUCCUGUUCCGCGACUCCCGGACCCAUCGCCAGCUCAGCCCAACCUGCCGCCUCACCAGCCAGCCCAGAACCAGUCCCGUCGCCUCCGCUCAAAGUGCUGCCACUCGGUCGCCAUCCCGGUCUCACCAAGUCCCCAGAACCAGCACGAACAACAAUAAAACUGUUCGAGUCCUUA